UAGUACUGAAUAGGUAGGUUGAAUUCUUCUUAUUUAUAAAAAACGAUUUUUUUUUGCUGUGUAUAUGCUUUUAAGCCUAAUAACUAUGCUUUAAUCUUCGUCGUCUUUGGAUAUCGUCGCCCCCUCAGAUCACCAAAGCAUUGCCUAGCCAGUGAAUGAAGGGCUAUGUAUACAUAUCACUCAAACAUGUAGAGCGUGAUUGCCAUUACCGAGCCGACAUCUGCUGUUAGUUUACUCUUAGUCAACUUUCGCAAAGCUCGUCGUAAGAAGACACCACCCGAAAGGUAUUAGCUCUAUUCUAGUGGCCGCGAUAUCUAUGGCCUCAGCGGGGGUCGCUCUACCAUUUAUCGAACAUGGCAGGAGACAUUGAAUGAACACAAUCCUUGGCGCCUCAGAAGGCCGUCGGCUUCGAGGCAGUCAGAAUAGCUGGACUCAAGCGCCGCACCAGCCGUAAGGUCAUUUUUUGUCGGAUCUGCGUGGAGUUGCCCACUAUGCGUCACCCAGUCUGUCCCACGACCACUAUUCUAUGAAGCUGUCGCCGACAGAGUUAACGAGCGGAGGUUAGUCGAGCGAACUGUCUCACAGACUGGACAGAAACAAUAGUGUGAAGCAUAUUCCUCUCUACAUCCAACGCGCACGUAGUCGAGCCUGACAGGAUAUUAUCGCCGUCGUGGUGAAGGGUAGCCAACCGCUGUCGGUUUCGUCCACGUUAAGGAUCUGGGCGAUAAGGAAUCGGGGAUGAGAAAGGUUCUGUGGCUGUUUCUCGCUACGCUGACACUGCUACAGUCUUUGAUGCUUCCUUGCUUUGCCAUUGUGUAUAUUCUUGUCCUAUGCAGCACACACUGCUACAAAAAAGAAAACGAUAAUACUGCCUGGUGCUGCGCUGGCCCAGCUACAAACGCGUCUCUUGGGAAUAGUAAGAAAGAUAGAACGCGUAUCCAGUGUAUAAGUUAUCAGCUCGGAGCCACAGUGUAGGUGGAAACAAUGGGAAGUCGCGGCCAAUCAACUCCAUAGUCUAAUCAAAUGAGAGGGACAGUCGCCGGAAAAUGAUCCGCGAAAGAUUUCCACCUCGAGCGAGCGAUCGAAAAUGAACAUUAUCGGAUUUGGCCAAGCACACUUUGAAGGUUGAAGCCGUUUUGAAAAGAGAGAAGGAUCUUAGGGAGCGUACUUGAUUCAAGAAUGGCAUCGAUUAUUGAGAAUUAGUGGUGGUUUCAAGCGUCUUUUUUUCUAGUUGCCACUGCAACUUGUAGCACAAUAUGACGCUGUUUUGUGUAUAUAUUACAUAAUUAGAUGCAAGAAAUGCAGUAUUGCGAUCGCUUACCUUUGUGACGUGGAAAUCAAUGAAAUUGUUUGUGGUAUACAGCCAUAAAUAUUUUUAUAACCUUUAUUUUGUGAAGAAUUUCCAUUGUAAGUGCAAACCUACGUUUCGAGCGACUAUCGGACUUUCAGGACGUGUUGGAAGAAAAAGGCAUAGUCGUAUGACGAAGAAAAAAGAACAACAAAUGUCGUACAGAGUUCAAAUGGAGAAAACUAAACUAAUAUUCAAGUGUCCUCGAAACAGCCAUGUGUCAAUGUUGUUCGCCAUAACAGAACGGAGUUUCAAAUUGACAAGUUCGAACCAUUGUCGGAGAGCUUCUCCGAGCACAACCGGCAUCGAGUCAAGCUCACGGAGGACUACGUAGAAAGGAAACGGA